GCCAGCAGCCAUGUCACCCUGCAACUCACAAUUGGCAGUCCGCUGAAGCCCAGCAGGUGUGAGCCCAGUCAGUACCUGGAUGGGAGACCUCCUGGGGGAAAACUAAGGUUGCUGCUGGAA
rnacentral:rRNA from 1 species